AGGGCACCACCAGGAGUGGAGCCUGCGGCUUAACUUGACUCAACACGGGAAAACUCACCCGGUCCGGACACCGUAAGGAUUGACAGAUUGAGAGCUCUUUCUUGAUUCGGUGGUUGGUGGUGCAUGGCCGUUCUUAGUUGGUGGAGCGAUUUGUCUGGUUUAUUCCGAUAACGAACGAGACUCUGGCCUACUAAAUAGUGACAGGAUUAUUACUGUCUUGGAUACUUCUUAGAGGGACAAGUGGUUUUCAGCCACACGAAAUUGAGCAAUAACAGGUCUGUGAUGCCCUUAGAUGUCCGGGGCUGCACGCGCGCUACACUGAAGGAAUCAGCGUGCUAAAACCAUUGUCGAAAGGCAUUGGUAAACCCAUUAAAAUCCUACGUGAUUGGGAUCGGGAAUUGCAAUUACUUCCCUUGAACGAGGAAUUCCCAGUAAGUGUGGGUCAUAAGCUCGCGUUGAUUACGUCCCUGCCCUUUGUACACACCGCCCGUCGCUGCCCGGGACUGAGCCGUUUCGAGA
rnacentral:rRNA from 1 species